rnacentral:rRNA from 1 species
GUGCCGCGGUAAUACGUAGGUGGCGAGCGUUGUCCGGAUUUACUGGGCGUAAAGGAUGCGUAGGUGGAAACUUAAGUGGGAUGUGAAAUCCCCGGGCUCAACCCGGGAACUGCAUUCCAAACUGGGUUACUUGAGUGCAGGAGAGGAAAGCGGAAUUCCUAGUGUAGCGGUGAAAUGCGUAGAUAUUAGGAAGAACACCAGUGGCGAAGGCGGCUUUCUGGACUGUAACUGACACUGAGGCAUGAAAGCGUGGGGAGCAAACAGG